UCCCUGAGACUGAAAUUGCCAGGAAGGUUUGUUUACAACUUGGACACUCUUUCUCUCCCCUGUUUCUGCACAGGAAAUGAGUUCCCCAGGACUGGUCACAGAAAAAAACAGAGAACUGCUAACAAGCACAGGAUACUUUCACCCAGAAGAUUUAGAGUUUAACUUGUCACCAGUGUGCAAGGCGUCCUUUGAUGAAGAUUUAUUCCUAAAUACAACGGGUCCAUAUGUGAAUUCAGCAGAAAUUAUUCCUGCACCUCUGAGUCGUGAAGAAACAACUGUAUAUCAGUCUCCACAUCAGAGGCGAGAAAUCUGCUCUAUUGUUAAAGCUUCACCAGGUGUUAAACCAUCUGAGCAUCACCUAAUUCCAGUUAGUGGCAGUGUGUGUCUUCCUCCUGAAGGGAUGCCUGAAUGUAAUGGAAACAGGAGAAUGUUUCAUACGCAAAUGACAGGUGACUGAGAGUGGGAAGAAGUGUAUAGUUUUUAUAAGUAAGUCAUUUUCAAUGUAAAAUCUGGAAAAAAAAAAUGGAAGUGUUGCAAGAGUGAGCCAUACUGGGGAUUUUAACUCUUCAUUUGGACUUCCACACAUAAAGUCCUU
rnacentral:lncRNA from 1 species